rnacentral:misc_RNA from 1 species
GGAAGUAAGAGUCGUAACAAGGUUUCCGUAGGUGAACCUGCGGAAGGAUCAUUAUUGAAUGAAACACUUCUGGCUUUAUGCUGUUGUGCUGGCCCUUUGGGCAAUGUGCACACGGCUCUGGUCACUUGUUUCUUCUGUUCCACCUGUGCACUGCCUGUAGACACGCUGUGUCUAUGAUAUUUGUUAACACACAACAAUGUUAGUUGGCAUGUUAUAUAUAAUAAUAAAAUAUACAACUUUCAACAACGGAUCUCUUGGCUCUC